AAACCUUCAGCCUUGCUUCCACUGCUUAUGAACUCAUGAUGAAUGUCACUAUAUAUGUCAUCAUAAAGUUUGAAAUACAAUCUUCUGUACCGAACAACGUUUUCAGAUCCAUUUACUUCUUCACACAGAUAUUUGUAGAGUAGAACUGAGUAAGCCUCCAUUUCGCGACUAUUUUGCAUCUUUGUGAAAACCUUUAAGAUACAAACAAUUAUCACAAAUGUUUUAUGAAAAUAAACAUUUAGGCAUAAGCAUCAUAUGUUUUAACAUUCAAUUUCUCUGAAUAUUAAGUUUUUUUUCUCUAUAUCAAAAUAAUAAUCCUCUAAAAUAAUUUGUAGUUUCAAUUCGUCAUUUCUAAAAUGGCGGACAAAUCUUUUCAACGCAACACUUU
rnacentral:lncRNA from 1 species